CUGACAGUAGCAAUAACAUCAUGAAAUUAAAUUUAGCUUAUAUGGUAAUAACAACAAUAUAGCUAAGUAACAAGACCUUAUAGUGUAACGGAAGCAAGCUCCGCCACUAAACAGAAGCAUAGCGGAAAAAAAGAAAAACAGAAUCAUUAACCUUCCUUACGUCAGAAUCAGCUUUCUCCGUUCAGUUGCACGAAUUACUUCCAACCAUUAGGCCUGGAUAACAAAUCAUGCUCAUUAUUGUUGGAGUUUUGCUUAGCAUUAUCAAUCUUCUAUGAGGACAUGACACCCAUGAGCAAUUUUAUUCCAAUCCUCACCCUGAUUGUCCUUGAUCCUUGAUGAUAACACUGGCAAUUUUCUUACUUUUAAUUCACGGAGCGUCCUAACAUGCCGCAGCCCAUCGGGAAGCACCAUUAAAUAUGUACAUUCAUCGAUCUCCAAGCUUUUCAGACUAGGCAGUGCUCCUUCCUCCACAUUCCAUUCCUCCAGUGGCUCCAGCUUCUUGAAUUUAAGGACUUCAAGCUUAGGAAAUCCUCCAAAACUGCAAAGCAUUUUCUUUCCUGUAAAUGAUUUGGACAUCAGUAUCAAAAUUUGAAGGUUGGGAAGCUUGUCCAGUAUUUGCAUGGGAUCCUCUGCCAGUCCAGAAGCUGACAAGGUGAGUUCAACGAGGUUCUGAGGGAACUCAGAAACCAGAUGCUGGUUCUUUAGCUUUCCAGUCAAAUAUAUGCUGGUGAGAUCAACAUGGCUCGAUAAAGACUCCAAGUGCAGAUCCCAGGGCUGAUUUAAUUCAUCAAAUGAUUUCAACAUCAGGGAUCGAAGGUUUUUUAAAUUUUGAACCCAAUUUGCCACAACAUCCAGUUGCUCGGACAUUGCCGUCUUUUGGAAAGGUCUUGAUAUCUUGCAAAUCAGUCCCAACUUUGUAAUAGUCAACAAAGUAUCCAGCCCAUUUCUUACAAGACUAUCCUCAUCAACGAAUAUGCCCCAAAGCGUUUGAAGAUCCAUUGGAGAACGGCCCCCUUCCCAGACGAACGUGCUGCGAAAACUCUCAUCAAGAAAUAAAUGCCUUAGUUUCAGCAUAUUCCAGAUUAUAUUGGGAAGAGUACAAAUGUGAGCUCGCUUCAAAUCUAAAGUUUGAAGGUUUAUCAACUUGUCAAUGAACUCAGGAAGUAUCUCUAAGUAAGUGGAUCUCAAACCUAGGUACCUUAACCGAGUAAGUUGACCUAUUGCCUUGGGCAGUUUUGGCUUAUAUACAUUUUCAAGAUCCAACACCCAUAGGAAAUGGAAGCAAUUGCUGGAGAUACAUCGAUCAAGAAAUUUCCCUAUAACUUCUCCAGCUUUGCUCCCUUCUCGAGUAUCAAAGGAUAAAAACGAGACAACAUCACUAUAGCAAGGGUAAAGAGAAGCAGUAUCGUUACCAUGGAUGUGAUCAAAGAUAGCAUCGUUUUCGUCGACAUGGUCAGCAAGACGGCGUAUCACACUAGUGAUGUUGGUGUGACCUUGGAGAAAAUUAGCUUGCUGGGCUUUUGCAAACCAGUGUACUCGCACUGCCUCAGGUAGGCGACACGUCUUGAUCUUCCCAUUGAGCUUCUUCUGUGUCACCUGUACCAUGUUAUGGUUCACCAACUCUCUCAAGCAUUCCUCUACGACAUAUUCAGGAGUUUUCUCAUCACCUUGUUGACGUCCCAAACCCUCCGCAACCCACAAGCCAAUCAAUCUUCUUGCAGGUAUCUUAUAAUCGGGUGGAAAUAAUCCAAAAUAAAAAAGGCAUCGCCUUAAAUACAAAGGCAAAUAUUUGUUGAUAUCUUCCAAGACUUCAGACCAUGGUUCUUCAUUUUGAUUUAGUUGGUCAAGCAUCCUUGACAACUCCUCUGGGGUUGGGUCUCUUUGUGACACUAGUUCUCCCAGUUUCACAAUCACCUUUGGCAGCCCUCCACAUUUUCUUAAUAUAUCAUUUUUCUUUGCUUCCAACCUUGACGCGAUGCAUAUAUUCAACUUAUGUUUGAACAAAGCCCAGCUUUCAUCAUCGCUUCGCAGAUGUAGUCUGUAAAUAAGGUUUGUAUCGGUAACUGGUGGAGCCCAAUCUAGGCUGCGUACAGAGAACAAUAUUCGAGUUCCGUUUGAUAUUUCAGAGAAUGCACUUCCCAUUACUCUCCAGAAUUGGCAUGGAUAAGAGUUAUUGACCACAAUGAGAUACUUCUUAUCCGCAAAGAAAGCAUUAACCAUCUGCCUCAACCUAAAUGCAUAGCUUUCCUCCGUUUCAUUACGACCACUAUAUAAUCCCGAAAUGUCAUCAAAUCCCAAAAUCUUUUUC
rnacentral:misc_RNA from 1 species